UCUUUUCGUUGUCGUUGAGUUUCUUUCGCUUCUUCAGUUGGUAAACGUAGAUGAAGAUCAUGGCAAGAAUAGCGAUGCCUGCUAAGUCUCCAACAGCGAUUCCUGCGACUGUGCCGGGAUUCAUCCCGCUCUCUUGCUGGGUCUGAGGCGAGCUUGUUACUGGGCUUGAGUCGGUUGUUCUGGGUAUGGCUGCAAUCGCGGGAGGAGACGUGGUUGUGGUUACAUUGGGUGGAGUAGCUUGCGUAGAAGGUACUGUGCAGAGUUUCUUCAGCGGGUUUCCGCACAGAUCCAGAUUUCCUUCAAACGACGCCGGUUUCUGAUAAAUCAAGGCUGCAGUUUCU
rnacentral:lncRNA from 1 species